rnacentral:rRNA from 1 species
UCGGAACGUGCCCAAUCUGGGGGAUAACGCAGCGAAAGCUGUGCUAAUACCGCAUACGAUCUACGGAUGAAAGCAGGGGAUCGCAAGACCUUGCGCGAAUGGAGCGGCCGAUGGCAGAUUAGGUAGUUGGUGAGGUAAAGUCUCACCAAGCCUUCGAUCUGUAGCUGGUCUGAGAGGACGACCAGCCACACUGGGACUGAGACACGGCCCAGACUCCUACGGGAGGCAGCAGAU